rnacentral:rRNA from 1 species
GUGGGGAAUUUUCCCCCAAUGGGCGCAAGCUUGAUGGAGCAAUACCGCGUGAGGGAGGAAGGCUCUUGGGUUGUAAACCUCUUUUCUCUGGGAAGCAGUUCUGAUGGUACCUGAGGAAUAAGCAUCGGCUAAUUCCGUGCCUGCAGCCGCGGUACUACGGAGGAUGCCAGCGUUAUCUGGAAUUAUUGGGCGUAUAGCGUCCGCAGGUGGCAUUUCCAGUCUGCUGUCAAAGACCAAGGCUCAACCUUGGGCAGGCAGUGGAAACUGAAAAGCUAGAAUGCGGUAGGGGUAGGGGGAAUUCCCAGUGUAGCGCUGAAUUGCGUAGAGAUUGGGAAGAACACCGGUGGCGAAAGCGCCCUACUAGGCCGCAACGACACUCAGGAC